GAGCUCGCCAGGAGUACUGAGAACUGCUAAUUCUCACAAUCAUGGUUCGACCCCAUGACCUGCUCA
rnacentral:tRNA from 1 species